rnacentral:lncRNA from 1 species
UUUUUCUUGAGACCUGGUCUGGCUCUGUGGCUCAGGCUCGAGUGCAAGUGGCGUGAUUACCGCUUAUUGCAGCCUCAGCCUCCUCUAGCCUUAGCCUCUCCGGUACCUGGGACCACGAGCUGGCGCCACCACCUCCGUCUACGUUUUUUGUAUUUUUAGCAGAGACUGGGAUCUUGCCAUGUUGGCUAGGCUGCUCUUGAACUCCUGAGAUCAAGCGAUCCGCCCGCCUCGGCCUCCCAAAGUGCCGGGACUGCAGGCAUGAGCCAUUGUGCCGGGCGCUCAGCCUCUUUUGGCGCCUACUUUCGCCUUUCCGGGGCCAGGCAUGUGCAGCGUGUUGGAGAAGGGUCCCGCCCUCUACGGGAAGUCCUCGCUGCCAAGGUCACAGGCGCGGAGAACAGGAGAACCGAGCAUGAAAAUACACAUGAACUCUUAAGAAAAAACAUUUCUAGCAAUCAGCAAAUACUAAGAACUUAUUGAGCUCUGUGCCUGAUGAUAUAGAAGCGAAGGUCAUGGUGCUGACAGCCUCUGCCUUGCACUUUGUCCCCCGGAACCAGGCCUGCGGCCAGUCCUGCCUCCUGGAAAGCCCACGCGCGUGAGAGGACCUGAUGCGGAACGGAGACCCCAUCCUCUCCGUGGCUCCCCAAGAGCCGGCGGCACAGGCUGUCCGCGCUCCUUGAGCCAGGUCAGUUCUCAGGCCCACAGAUCUCGUUCUCCCAGCAGAAAACGAUCUUUAUUUUCUCCUCUUGCAUCGGUCUUGAAGCGGGGCGUCGUUUGG